rnacentral:rRNA from 1 species
UACGUAGGGUGCGAGCGUUAAUCGGAAUUACUGGGCGUAAAGCGUGCGCAGGCGGUUUUGUAAGUCUGACGUGAAAUCCCCGGGCUUAACCUGGGAAUUGCGUUGGAGACUGCAAGGCUGGAGUCUGGCAGAGGGGGGUAGAAUUCCACGUGUGAGCAGUGAAAUGCGUAGAGAUGUGGAGGAACACCGAUGGCGAAGGCAGCCCCCUGGGUCAAGACUGACGCUCAUGCACGAAAGCGUGGGGAGCAAACAGG